GGGGAUGUAGAUUAAUUGGUAGAACACUUCAGGUGGCUCCUAAGAGGCUCGGGGAUCGACUCCUCGCAUCUCCA